UCAUGGCAACGCCGGAUCCUUAACCCACUGAGUGAGGCCAGGGAUUGAACCCACAUCCUCAUGAAUACUAGUUGGGUUCAUUAACCACUGAGCCAUGACGGAAACUCCGACAUCUGCCUAUUUUUAACCUGGUGGUAGCAGCCAGCUUGUUCAGCUCCAGUAGCUGAACUAAGCCUAAGCUCUUGGGCUUAGUUCUUCUCAAGAGCAACAGCUUCUAGAAAUGGAGGAAAGUAGCUAAGAGCAGCAGGCAACAUACUUGAUCCUUUCCUAGAAUUAUUUAAUUGCAAGAACCCUGGGAAGAAGGCAUAGUUCUUAUUCCCUUUUUACCAAUACAGAUAAUGCAAAUAAGAGACUGAAUAGCUGUAGCUAGUGCACCAAGCAGAACUUGAAAGUAGGACAUGUUUCCAAAACCCAUAUUCCAGGCAACUUUCCCAUAUCCCCAGUGAGUGAGACCCAGAGCUGAUCUUACUGGUAAGUCCCAGGCACCCAUUUUGCUUGAUACUCGCUUACACAACCAGGCUUAUAUAUAAGUCUCUGAUUUCUAUGGCUGAGAAUGGAACUUUCCUCUAAGAUCAUUUUCCUUGCUAGGCAUCUUUGCUAUCCUGGUUACUUCUUAGUAACAAACCACUCUACGAGGACCAGGACCUAGUUCUUUAUACCCCACCUGCCACUGGACUCUAAAGGCUACUGAGAUCCAGCUGACUUGGGUGGCACCAGUACCCUCCAGGUGAUGCUGGUGUGUGCUGAAAUUGUGGAAGCACCACUAAAUCCAUCAGAUUCUUAAUCCCCGUUAUUUCAUUCCUGGGAAACAGUAGGAGACCCUGUUGAUCCUGAUCUUUUCUUUCAUUACCGGUACCAGCAUAUACAUCCAUCACACUAUUGUCAUUCUAGUAAAACCAACGUAAGUGGGAAUAACUGAAAAGGCAGACUAUUCUUUUCUGUCUCUAACACAGCUUUCCUGUCAUGUGUGUAACCAGCAAGCAAGCUUCAUUUGUGCUUCACUUGAACUUCAUUCGGAGUGAUAAGGCCUUGGCUGAGAUGAAACUCCCUCCAGAAAGUCUGUUCUGCUGACUGAAUGUGUCUCAUCUGUGUGCUCUCCUAGAAGCCUUGCUUCUCUGGUUAAAGCUAUCACAAGGUACUGUAAUAUUUCACUAGCUUCCCUGCCUCACCCAUCAUCCUAUGAGUUUCCUGAGGGGAGGGGAACCAUUUCUUUCUUAUUGACCACUAUAUUCAUAGUGCCUAGUCCAGUAUCAGGUCUUCAAUAAAUAUUUGUUGGCCAAAUGAAUGAACAGAGACAUAAAAUAGCUAGGAGAGCUUUAAUGCUGUCUAGCCUUUGACUUUCUCCUAGGUGGCUGCAAUGGAAUCUUAGCUUUAUUCCUAAUUCUAGAGGUAACAACUACAGAAAUGAAAAUUACAAAUUUUAAUUAAUUUUCCCUUAAAACUGAAGUCCAAACUGAAGUCUUUCCUCAGAUGAAAACAGUCAAAAUUGUUUUAGGGAUUAUCAGAAUUUGGCACUCAAAGAUGACAGGAGAGAGAAGAAGGAGGAGAGCAAGAGAGAUUGGUAUUUCACAUCCUUACUAGCCAGUAUAGUGGGCAUUUAGGAAAUCAUACAGUCAUAAAAGGCAGAAAUUCAUAAUCUAGUGGAGAAGAUAAGUCAUGGACACAAGUGUAACAAAAGAUAGGAAGAGUCAAGCAUCAUAUGGAGGUAAAGAAUAUCAUAUAAGAAUUGAGAGGGAAAAAGUUCUUCCAGCUUGGAGUGAGAUCUGGAAAUCUUACAUGAUAUAGGUCACAUGUGACCUGAUCCUGCAUUAAGAUUUAAAAGCUCUAUGUUCUUCAACAAAUUACAUUUCUUCCCGAGCACAUUCAAAAAUACAUUUUAGUCCCUUUUUAAAUGUGUAAUAUAUGAGAAAGAGGGUUAGUUUAAGAAAAUAAAGUAUGAAGACCCUAAAGAGCAGGAGUUUGGAUCUAGCUUUGCCAGGAGCUAGUUUGUAACCUUCAGAAGUUUCUUAAUAUUUUUGGACUUGAGUUUUCUCAUCUGCAAACUGAGCAGAUAAUAAAUGAUCUCUGAAGUCCUUUCUGGCACUAGCAUUCAGUGAGUGUCUAUAGUCUAAUCCUUUAUGCUGAUUAGACUUUUGUGGUUAAAUGCAAUUAGUUUUGCUAUGUGCUUCACGAUAAAUUCAGGCUCUGCAAUUCUUCAUUAUGCACAGAGGCAGUCAUGUCUUAUUGCUUAGUAGACAAAUGAAUUGUCAAUUUUAUAUGAAGAAAAUUAUUAGAGAUUAUGUGUCUGGAGGGAAAGAGUAACUCUUACAUUCAAAAGUGAAAUAAUAACUUUGGAAGUUCUUGAAAAGACUAUUGAAAUGUUCUUUGGAGUCAUAUAAUUAAAAAAGGAAGAUUGCAUGACUAGGUUCCCAGACGCUGCAGAAAUAGGCAAUGUAUGUCAUUAAGUAGAUGUUAUUUCAUUAGCCCUGACUAGGUGAAAGGGGGAGGAAGAAAGAACAUGCUGAUAUAUUUUGUCCAAUUUAUUAAAUCCUUGGAAAUGGUAUUCAAUCUAUUUUAAGAGAAAUCUGCUAAUGAGAAUGACCAGAAUUUACACCCUUUCUUGUUUACUUAACACCUGCUUGUCACUAGUAAGGGUAUUUGCUUUGAAGCAAUGCUCAAACGAAUGAAAUUAAAUAGCCCAGGAACAGGUAGAUGGAAAAUCAAUUGGAAAGCCCUAUGUAACUUCACUCACUAGUGUUGUUUCACUUAACCUGGCUAUAUACCAGGUAGUAUUCAGGUACCCUUUACAAAGAUGGAGUUACUCUUGGUCCUAUCAAAACAGCUCUCUAAGAAGUAAGCCUGUGGACGUAAGAAACUUCAAACUGAUUUCUUACUCUUAAGAUUCAGUUGCUUUGCUGAAAACUGAGACUAUAGAGAAGAUUCUCAGACAGUGGGAUAGCCAAGUAGCACUGAUGUUUCAGUGUCUUGCCUUUGGAACUAGAGUAUAAAUAUACCCUUCUCCCUGAUCCGUGAAAUGCAAAUAAGUCACAAGCAUGAGGAAGUAUACAGCUCAGAGAACAACCUAAGCCUUGGCUCUUUGUUCAUCAAAACUCAGGCACUGGCCCAGCUGCCUCACAAUGGACUUGGCAGUUGAGGUAGCCAUGGCCAAGAGGGUAGAGACAAGCAGUAAGCACAGUGGGACUUCAAAGAAACAGGACCAGGACACUGAAGGGCUUGAGUUGUCUGGAACUGACUUUAGUGAGUUGCCUAAAGAAAUUCAAGAAAGCUAAAGUAGAAAACAGGAGGACAGAGGACCAGAGAAGUCACCCAAGGUCAGAGGAUGAGUAAGUGACAGACAGUGGACUGCAGCUCAUUAUCCUGCAUUCUUACUUGGUUCGCUGGAUAAAGAUGGGCAGGGACUUUAUUUAACUUGGAAGAGAAAGUGGCAUGGUGAGAUUUAGAGUCACACAGGCCUGUGAACUGUGUGGGGAAAGGAGUGAUGCACUCAAAAUGCCUGGCAUGAAGGUGACACCCUGUGGGCAUUACCACCAGUUUCUCACCACCAGUCCCAAUGAACAGUCCAAUGGAAAACCUCACUGAUAAUUAUUUUGGAUUUUCACCACAAGGCUUAAGAAUAAACUUUCUUGACCAUAUAUGUAAGCACGUGGAAAAGACAACCCAUGUUUACUAAACAGUGACGUAUUAUUUUUUUAAGCUUUUUACCCAUUUGUUUUUUUCUUUUAACCCAACAAUGAUAAUACCUGCUUACUUUAACUUACUCUGUACUAAACACAGGUCCAAGUGUUGUUCUAGAAUUAAUCCUCAAAAUAAGCCAACAAGGCAGAGACUAUUAUGCUUUCUAUUUUUCAUAUGAGGACAGCAGGCAUGAGGUUAAACAACUUAUCCAAGGUCACUUAGUAAGUGGCAGAGCCAGGACUCAAGCAGACAGUGUGCUGCCAGAGCCCUACCCUGUUGUUAAUCCCUCUGCAAGGCUGCCUCCUGACACACACAUGCUAUUCUUUAUUAAGUGCACAGAAUGUAGACCUAAGACAUUAUUAAGCUAGAUUCAACAGAAACAUGAAACACUUAAGCGCACUUAUUACCAACUUUAGAGACUAAUUAAAAUUUAUUCUGGGGAAAGACUAUUUUAGAGUGAUGACAAAUCCACAAUAAAUUAAUUGGCCUGGAGCUGUCAA